rnacentral:tRNA from 1 species
GGAGAUGUGACAGAGUGGUCGAAUGUGCCAUACUCGAAAUAUGGUGUACCGGAAACGGUACCGGAGGUUCGAAUCCUCCCAUCUCCG